rnacentral:rRNA from 1 species
GUUAUAUGGUCAAGCGAAUAAGCGCACACGGUGGAUGCCUUGGCGGUCAGAGGCGAUGAAGGACGUGGCAGCCUGCGAAAAGUAUCGGGGAGCUGGCAACAAGCUUUGAUCCGGUAAUGUCCGAAUGGGGAAACCCACCCGCUUGCGGGUAUCCUGCAGUGAAUACAUAGCUGCUGGAAGCGAACCUGGUGAACUGAAAUAUCUAAGUAACCAGAGGAAAAGAAAUCAACCGAGAUUCCGUAAGUAGCGACGAGCGAACGCGGACUAGCCCUUAAGCUGGAUUGGUUCUAGGAAAACGCUCUGGAAAGAGCGGCCAUAGAAGGUGAUAGCCCUGUAUCUGAAAGGGCCAUUCCAGUGAAGACGAGUAGGGCGGGGCACGUGAAACCCUGUCUGAACAUGGGGGGACCAUCCUCCAAGGCUAAAUACUACUGACCGACCGAUAGUGAACCAGUACCGUGAGGGAAAGGCGAAAAGAACCCCGGAGAGGGGAGUGAAAUAGAACCUGAAACCGUGUGCGUACAAGCAGUAGGAGCUCCGCAAGGAGUGACUGCGUACCUUUUGUAUAAUGGGUCAGCGACUUACUGUUCGUGGCAAGCUUAACCGUAUAGGGGAGGCGAAGGGAAACCGAGUCUGAUAAGGGCGCAUAGUCGCGGGCAGUAGACCCGAAACCGGGUGAUCUAGUCAUGCCCAGGGUGAAGGUGCGGUAACACGCACUGGAGGCCCGAACCCACUCCCGUUGCAAAGGUAGGGGAUGAGGUGUGAUUAGGAGUGAAAAGCUAAUCGAACCCGGAGAUAGCUGGUUCUCCUCGAAAGCUAUUUAGGUAGCGCCUCAUAUGUAUCCUCUCGGGGGUAGAGCACUGUUAUGGCUAGGGGGUCAUCGCGACUUACCAAACCAUUGCAAACUCCGAAUACCGAGACGGACUGUAUGGGAGACACACGGCGGGUGCUAACGUCCGUCGUGAAAAGGGAAACAACCCAGACCCACAGCUAAGGUCCCAAAUUUUGUGCUAAGUGGAAAACCAUGUGGAAAGGCACAGACAGCCAGGAGGUUGGCUUAGAAGCAGCCACCCUUUAAAGAAAGCGUAAUAGCUCACUGGUCGAGUCGGUCUGCGGGGAAGAUUUAACGGGGCUAAGCACAGAACCGAAGCUUGGGGUGCAUAACUUUGUUAUGCGCGGUAGAGGAGCGUUCCGUAAGCCGUUGAAGGUGGAUUGAGAAGUCUGCUGGAGGUAUCGGAAGUGCGAAUGCUGACAUGAGUAACGAUAAUGCGGGUGAAAAACCCGCACGCCGAAAGCCCAAGGUUUCCUUGCGCAACGUUAAUCGGCGCAGGGUGAGUCGGCCCCUAAGGCGAGGACGAAAGUCGUAGUCGAUGGGAAGCAGGUUAAUAUUCCUGCACCUCGCGUAAGUGCGAUGGAGGGACGGAGAAGGUUAGGUGUACCAGGCGUUGGUUGUCCUGGGGAAAGGCGGUAGGUUUGGAUCUUUGGCAAAUCCGGGAUCCUUUAAGACCGAGCACCGAGACGAGCCUUUAUGGCGAAGUCACUGAUACCACGCUUCCAGGAAAAGCUCCUAAGCUUCAGCUUACGCAGACCGUACCGUAAACCGACACAGGUGGGUAGGAUGAGAAUUCUCAGGCGCUUGAGAGAACUCGGGUGAAGGAACUAGGCAACAUGGCACCGUAACUUCGGGAGAAGGUGCACCCUUUUUGGUGGCUCGUGCGAGCUAUAGCUGAAGAGGGUCGCAGUAACCAGGCCGCUGCGACUGUUUAUCAAAAACACAGCACUCUGCAAACACGAAAGUGGACGUAUAGGGUGUGACGCCUGCCCGGUGCUGGAAGGUUAAUUGAUGGGGUCAGCCGCAAGGCGAAGCUCUUGAUCGAAGCCCCAGUAAACGGCGGCCGUAACUAUAACGGUCCUAAGGUAGCGAAAUUCCUUGUCGGGUAAGUUCCGACCUGCACGAAUGGCGUAACGACAGCGGCGCUGUCUCCACCCGAGACUCAGUGAAAUUGAAAUCGCUGUGAAGAUGCAGCGUUCCCGUGGCAAGACGGAAAGACCCCGUGAACCUUUACUAUAGCUUUACACUGAACGUUGAGUUCGUCUGUGUAGGAUAGGUGGGAGGCUAUGAAACCAUGGCGCUAGCUGUGGCGGAGCCAUCCUUGAAAUACCACCCUGUCGUGCUUGACGUUCUAACCUGGGCCCAUUAUCUGGGUCGGGGACCGUGUAUGGUGGGUAGUUUGACUGGGGCGGUCUCCUCCUAAAGAGUAACGGAGGAGCUCGAAGGUACGCUCAGCGCGGUCGGACAUCGCGCACUGUGUGCAAAGGCAUAAGCGUGCUUGACUGCAAGAUCGACGGAUCAAGCAGGUAGGAAACUAGGACUUAGUGAUCCGGUGGUUCUGUAUGGAAGGGCCAUCGCUCAACGGAUAAAAGGUACUCCGGGGAUAACAGGCUGAUACCGCCCAAGAGUUCAUAUCGACGGCGGUGUUUGGCACCUCGAUGUCGGCUCAUCACAUCCUGGGGCUGUAGUCGGUCCCAAGGGUAUGGCUGUUCGCCAUUUAAAGUGGUACGCGAGCUGGGUUCAGAACGUCGUGAGACAGUUCGGUCCCUAUCUGCCAUGGGCGUUGGAGAUUUGAGAGGGGCUGCUCCUAGUACGAGAGGACCGGAGUGGACGAACCUCUGGUGUUCCGGUUGUCACGCCAGUGGCAUUGCCGGGUAGCUAUGUUCGGAAGCGAUAACCGCUGAAAGCAUCUAAGCGGGAAGCGCGCCUCAAGAUGAGAUCUCCCGGGGCACAAGCCCCCUGAAGGAACCAUGUAGACUACGUGGUUGAUAGGUCAGGUGUGUAAGUACAGCAAUGUAUUGAGCUAACUGAUACUAAUGAUCCGUGCGGCUUGACCAUAUAACCU